UACGUACGAGGCGAGCGUUAUCCGGAAUUACUGGGCGUAAAGCGUGCGCAGGCGGCUUCUCAAGUCAGGGGUGAAAGCCCAGAGCUCAACUCUGGAAUUGCCUUUGAGACUGAGUGGCUUGAGUACGAGAGAGGUGAGUGGAAUUCCCAGUGUAGAGGUGAAAUUCGUAGAUAUUGGGAAGAACACCGGUGGCGAAGGCGGCUCACUGGCUCGUAACUGACGCUCAUGCACGACAGCCGUGGGGGAUCAAAACAGGG
rnacentral:rRNA from 1 species